CCAAGCUUAAAUGUUAGAAAUCUUUAGGCUAAGAGUGAUCCAGAAAGUGUCUAAAUGCAACUCUAAGCAAGGAGGGGACAGAAACUCUUAUCUUUGUGAGGA